UCUUUCCACUUCGCACUUACUCUCCAGCCGGCAACAACGAACGGUGAAUCCACCGGACAUAUAUCCAGUCCCGUGCUAUAGCUUUAAGAUAGCUGAUAUCACCUGCAUUAACAUGUUUAAAUUACUUAUUUAGUGUAAGUCUCGUGUAAACAACCUCUCCACCUUCAUGAGGUAGUGGCAAGGUAUGCGUACACUGUCUGUAUCCAUCCAGUCCCCAUGUAUCAGAACUCACUGGCAAGAUGGAUUUCCACAGCCUUACAAGUUACAAGGAGAGAAUUGCAAGCUGUUUGCAAGAAGAACAAAAUCCCUGCUAAUAUGACUAAUGUUGCCAUGGCCGAUGCUCUUCAAUCUCGUCAGUUUGUUGAUGGUAUUGAAGAGGUCUUGAAAACAUGUGAAUCUGAUGUUGCAAACUCAUCUAUGGAGUCUCCUGGAAAGUCAGAAGCAAUAUCAAGAGUACCUCGGACUAGUCACCGGACUACCCAACGAAAGACAAUCAAACAUGAAAUAUUUUGUUCCUAUACUGAUUGUGCUUCUUAGUCCAUGCUCUACAAUGAAUGAACUAUAGUUAUUGACAUCAUUUAGUUUCUCUUAAGUGGUCAACAUGUUAUUUGGUUUAACAAAAGUAUAUGCUUUUGUUCACAUUAUAAGAUUGCUAUCUCAGUUACUGAUUAUUAUCUUAUUGAAACUAUGUGCUGAUAAUUUAAAUGAAUAAAACUGCUAAUUUUUGUGGAAAUAUUACUGCAUUUGCAGUUGAUAUGUGGCAGGGGAGGCUAUAACUAUCAAUCUGUGAGAAGAUGGACAUCCAAAAGAAAGCUGGGUUACUGCCUCCUUGAAUGCGAUAAAAUUUUUGUCCCUAUCCACAAACAAGUACAUUGGUGUUUAGCUGUUAUCAGUAAGAAGGAUGAAAAGUUCCAAUAUCUUGAUUUACUCGGAGCAAGGGAUAUUCAUGUGUUGGAAGUGUGAUAAACUUAUAUUGUACAAAGGGAAAUUUUCUAGCAUUGUGCAGUCUGCAGGAACUGCAGCACCAAAGAAAAUCCCGUCAACUUGUGGGACAGAAUAGAGAAAUUGUGUUGCACUAGCCACUUUGGGACAUUGAAGAGCUUGUCAAUACUAUAUCAAUUCCAUCUCAGCUUCACUUCUCCAAGUGGGUUGAUAUAUUUUCCCUUGUAUACAAGGUGAUCCGGGAUUAUGUUGAUUCAAUGGACGAGUUACUGCAGCCACUAGUGGAUGAGGCAAUGCUAUCAGGUUAUAGUUGCAGAGAAGAAUGGAUCGCAGCUAUGGUCACUUCUCUCUGGACAUACUUGGCAAAAAGAAAUAUUUCCCAUGUAUGUUAGUCAGCUGGAUGAAGAGAGCACAAGUGGAGCGUACUCCCAGGCUAGGAUAUCCUAGCUCCAUCUUAUUGAUCUGAUGAUUUUAAAAAAGAUUUUGCAGGAAAAUGAAAAUGCUGUACAUUUGGCCAAGUGAAGCCUCUUAUAAUGUAGAUAAUGACAUUAGGCUGAUUUAUAGAGAAGGGAAUCCUCAUUCCUCGAAUAUGGUUUUCGGCUUGGGCCCAAGCAUGAAACGAGCAGAUCUUUCCCUCCAAAUACGUCCAAGACAUGCAGGUUUUGGAAGUAGCAGAAAGUAUUCACUUCAUUCACCAGGUCCAACAGGAGGUUUUCUUCGGGCUUUAAGCUUUAUAAAAAAAGCUGCUUCAUCUGAUGGUGAGAGAAGUUCUCUCCUCAGUUCAUAUCAUAAGGUAGUUCCAGGAAGCCCUCUUUCAGUAAACUUCUUCUCCUCCAAAUUCAUUCUUUAUUUUGGUUUCUAAAGGUUGACCUAUUGUGCACACUAAAAGAAGUUUCCUCGAUGAAGCAGGGGAUGUGAAUCAACAACCUUGUUGGGUUAUCAUUUAACCUUUUCAUAUUAUUAAAUGCAGAAAGAUGGCUGUAGCUCUGAUUACAACAGUUAUUUGGAUGCUAAGGUGUUUUGAUCCUAUCUUUUAUAUUUCUUGCUGGAUUUUAUCAUGACAUGUUUAUAAGAGGUAUUUGUCAGAUGGACUUCCACUCCCAGCAGAGAGAAAAUACUUCGUUUUUUGCUUCACCCUUCUCUGCUAUGGUUAUUUCACUGACCGAUGGGAAAACAUGUUAGAAACUCUUUUGCUCGCAAAAGUGAUUUUGAUUGGCUUAAUCUUUCUGGCCUAUGGAAGUAUGAUAGAGUUGUUCGGUUGAGCCAAAUACAUCAUGCCACUGUGAAACUUUGAGCAUCUCUAGUGUAGUAACAUGUUUUUGAGCACAAUAUUUUAUAUUUUGCAGGGGAUGCCGACAUAUUCUUUCGAACAGUGUUUUUGCUCUUGAAACGGAUGGAUCAUUACUGCUCCAGAUGGAUGAAUGAGAAAAAAGAUGGCGAGCGAUUAAAGAGAGGAAAGAAAAGACAUACUCUUUUGCAUGACACAACAGCAUUUAUGGAAGAAUUUAGUUUCUCAACAAAGACGAGAACUGAAGAUGGAUAUAAUCCUCGCCUGGAUGACUUCAAAAACACCAAAUUUCAUUUGAGCGUUCCCAUACAAAACAUCAAAUAGACUGACCAUGCCUUUUUCCUCUUCACUUCUAUAGCAAUGUCGUUCAAGGAAGCACGUAACACAAGUGUAGAGAGGACACUUCUCAUUGUGACUUGAAUUGAUAAAACAUAUUGUUCAACCUUCAGUUCAGCAGCAGGAACAAUUUUUGAGAAGACGCUGGAGAUAGCGAGUUCUCGAUGUUCUUCUAUAUAGCAAUGAUGCUGGUGUAGCCGUAUGAGGGAGUUUGUAUGAUCAGAUUAAGAAUGUUUGUGAUUCUUGGUUACGAAUGUGUUAACGAUGAGUAUCAAGAGCUGAGAGUGGAAGAAGAGAUUGAUGAUAUUAUUUUCCUCUCUUUAGAGUUCAACAAGAGAAUUCACUUUCACAUCAGUUAAAUUUUAGCACUGGCAACUGCCAAAGGUAUUUCUAAUUUUUUUCUGUUUUGUGCACUUAAAUGGUCAUAUUUACAGGAAAUAAUGAGAAUCCAUUGGUUUCUAAUUUCUGUGUUUUGUUCUUUUCUUCUUCUCCUUCCUUUUCCUACCAAAAUUUGCUUUGUAGACAUCUUUCAAGCUGGUCAUGUAGGUCAUAGGUUCGAGCCGUGAAAGCAGCAACUAAUACUUGCAUUUGGGUAGAUUGCCUACAUGACGUCCCUUGGACUGUGAUCUUUUUAUGAAACUUUGCAUGAAUACGGAAUGCAUUGUGCAUCAGGCUGUGUUCUUUUUUUUUCAAGCUAGUCCUUUCAAGUUUGUUUUAAAUUUUUUGGUCUAUUGAACAAGUAUGCUCAUGCAAGUAUUGUGGAAACAACGGAUUAACAAGGCAAAAGAAAAAGGCAGCAUAUUUCAAAAUUCUCUUUUAAGUUUUCAAUAAAUUUCAUUUAAAAUUUAUGUGUCCAAGGUGUGCCAUCUCCUUCUAGCACAUCGUUAUCAAAUCAAUGUUAUACCCACUUCUUAAUGAUGGCUAGCAUAAAAGUAAUAAACCUUCUAGACAACA